GAUGAACGCUGGCGGCGUGCCUAAUACAUGCAAGUCGAGCGAAGCGGGACAGGGUGAGUAACACUGGGUUAAUCUCCUAUAAGAACCGGAUAACUUCGGGAAACCGGAGUUAAACAGAAUACUUAUAGAUGGGUCCGCGAUGUAUUAGCUAGUUGGUAAGUUAACGGCUUAUCAAGGCACCGAUGCAUAGCCGACCUGAGAGAGGGAUCGGCCACACGGGGACUGAGACACGGCCCAGACUCCUACGGGAGGCAGCAGUAGGGAAUCUUCCGCAAUGGGCGAAAGCCUGACGGAGCAACGCCGCGUGAGUGAAGAAGGUCUUCGGAUCGUAAAGCUCUGUUAUUAGAGAAGCGGUACCUGAACAGAAAGCCACGGCUAACUACGUGCCAGCAGCCGCGGUAAUAC
rnacentral:rRNA from 1 species